UGACGGUACCUGACUAAGAAGCCCCGGCUAACUACGUGCCAGCAGCCGCGGUAAUACGUAGGGGGCAAGCGUUAUCCGGAUUUACUGGGUGUAAAGGGAGCGCAGGCGGUAACGCAAGCCAGAGGUGAAAACCCGGGGCUCAACCCCGAGGAUUGCCUUUGGAACUGUGGAACUGGAGUGCUGGAGGGGCAGGCGGAAUUCCUGGUGUAGCGGUGAAAUGCGUAGAUAUCAGGAGGAACGCCGGUGGCGAAGGCGGCCUGCUGGACAGUAACUGACGCUGAGGCUCGAAAGCGUGGGGAGCAAACAGGAUUAGAUACCCUG
rnacentral:rRNA from 1 species